rnacentral:lncRNA from 1 species
GACAAGUCUCACUCUGUUGCUACGCUGGAGUGUGGUGGCACCAUCUUGGCUCACUGCAACCUCUGCCUCUGGAGUUCAAGUGAUUCUCCUGCCUCAGCCUCCCAAGUAGCUGAGACUACAGAUAUUUCUUCCUCCCUUUACUUUGAGCCUGGGGGUGUUAUGGAAUGUGAGCUACAUCUCCUGAAGAUAGUCGCUUACUGGGUGUUGCUUCUUCAUUCAACUUGGUACUCUGUGUCUUUAAA